rnacentral:ribozyme from 1 species
AAAGCAAAGAGACCAAAGAGGAAAACAGAACACACCUCCUGAUUGGCCGUGUGUUGUUGUUCUCUUUGUUCGUUCCGUUUAAUUCGUGCUUUCAUUACAAUUAAACGGAACAGAACAAAUAGAACAAAGAACACACAAGGAAUCAUCAAUCUUAUCCUUUGUUCCUGUUGUGUUUAACUGAAUGAAAAAGGAAUACAA